AACAUUCUACAUAAAAGCCAGAGAGUACUUUGUAUUUAAUUUCACAUGGUACAGUAUAAGAAAUCUUGCAGUAGACUUAUCAAGCUUUAUUUUAAAAAUAAUUCUUAGACAGAAUUGAGUUUAUUUAGUUUUUGAGAGAGGGUCUCGUUGUGGAGUUCAUAUACUUUUAGCUUACAAUUCUGAAAGAUUAAAAGAAACUACAUUAUAUUAAUACAGAUAGAAUUGGCACUGAUUUUUGUCUACUGAACCUAGACCCAAACUAAACAUAUCUCCCACCUGACACAGUUAUUUUUGUAUAGUACAGUUUUUAUUUGGGGUUGGGGUAUGCAACAUGACAUGUUGGGGACAUAACUCAGGAAUUGGCUUUCUCCUUCCAUCUUUUGGGGUAACCGAAAGUCUGUACUCUUAAAUGGUUAUCUCCUUAUUUCUCUUAAACCUUAAUCACUGGCAGCCUCUGCUGUGGUUUACUUCAUGACUAUAUAUUAUUUUCAGAUUCCAAGUAUAAUAUAAUGCAGAGGUUUUGGUUUGUGUUUGUUGCCUAAAUGUAUGUAUGUGUACCCGGUCCAUGCCUGUGGCCCAAGAAGGUCUGAAGAGGGCAUCAGGUCUUCUGGGACUGGCCUUACACACACUUAGGAGCCUCCAUUUGGCUGCUAAAGAUGGAUCUUAGGUCCUCUGGAAGAGCAGCCAGUGUAGCAUAAUUGAAGCCAGAUUGAAUUUUGUUUGAAAGCAGUAUUGUUUGAAAGUGAAUUGUCCCCUAUAAGCCUGUGAGUUUGGACAUGUGCCUCUCCCCAAGCUGGUGGCACUGUUUUUGAAGGCUGUGGGUAGGUGUUGGUCUUGUACCUGCCAACAAUUUUGGCCGAAGUCUCCACCACAAGCUCCUGCUUCUGCAUAACCACUCCAGCCACCUUGCCUUUCCUGUCCUGCCAUGAUAGAUUUUAUCCUCUCAGUCCAUGACCUCAGACUUUUCCUUUUUAAAAUAUUGCUUCUGUCAGGCAUUUUUGCAAAUAAUACAGAACAUAUAUAACUUUAAAUUUAAUGUGUUUGUGUGUGUGCACACAUUGUAUAUGUACAAGUACAUACAUAUACCUGAGGCAGUCAGAUGAGUGUGUUAAGUCCCCUGGAAGCUGGAAUUACAGGGUGAUGUAAGCUAAUUAACUACUUGGCUACUGGCAAUUAAAUGAGUCCUUUGUAAGAACAGUAAGUACCUGUUUAGCCAUCUCUCCAGCUUCUCUUUUUUUUUUUUUUUUUUUUUUUUUACACUUACUGGCCACUUGCAUGUUUUAGGAAAGUUUUCCUGUUUGUUUUGUCAUUUUCUCCCUCUCCCUCUCCCUCUCCCUCUCCCUCUCCCUCUCCCUCUCCCUCUCCCUCUCCCUCUCCCCUCUCCCUCUCCCUCUCCCUCUCCCUCUCCCUGCAUUAGAGAGGGGGGAAGGGAGGGGGGAGAAGAAGGGAAGGAGAGGGUCUAGUCUAUUUCAGACUGUCCUCAAAUUUGGUAUGUGGUCAAAGAUGAAGAAGAACUUUCAGACCUGCCUCUACUCCCAACAUACUAUGAUUCUUAGGGAGUGUUUGAUGUUGAAGAUUUAACCUGGAACUUAGUACAUGCUAGGCAAGAACACUUUUUAGAGCCACAUUGACAUUUUCAGAUGAGUAUAUAAUGUACUUUGCUUAUUAUUAGACACAUCUUUAGCUUGUGUUGUAUUUUUUUUUUUUUUUUUGUACAUGAUAGAAAAUACAGUUAUUUUGCAGUCUGGAUCUGAUUUAUUUUGCUUAGUAAGAUUUUUGGUUCUAUCACUUCCCUACAAAUUACCUAAUUUUUGUCUUUAUGACUGAAUAAAAUGCCAUUCUGCAUGUC
rnacentral:lncRNA from 1 species